CCCUUAGAUGUUCUGGGCCGCACGCGCGCUACACUGACAGGGACAACGAGUUUACAACCUGCGCCGGUAGGUGUGGGUAAUCUUUUGAGCCCUUGUCGUGUUGGGGCUAGAUCUUUGUAAUUUUCGAUCUCAAACGAGGAAUUCCUAGUAAGCGUGAUUCAUCAGAUCGCGUUGAUUACGUCCCUGCCCUUUGUACACACCGCCCGUCGCUCCUACCGAUUGGGUGCUCCGGUGGAUUGUUUGGACUGCUGUCAGUCUUUUCGGCUGUCGGCGAGAAGCUCUGUGAACCUUAGCACCUAGAGGAAGGAGAAGUCGUANCA
rnacentral:rRNA from 1 species